rnacentral:lncRNA from 1 species
CUGUGAAGAAGAUGGUUCCACAGCGCGCGGGCUAUGUCGCCCUCCCAGGGGACUUCCUAGUAAUGGGUUUCCAAAGCCCAGGCAAAAGCCAGAACAGAAGGGGGCCCUAGAAGAGAGUACUCACCAGCCCAUCACAGUUACUGAGCGCCACCGAGGAGGUUUUAGAUAGGACACCUGUCUCUUUGCUGUGCCAUUCUCCCUUCCCCAAGCCUGUCUGUCAAGGCCUAAAGUAGACGAUCCAGAGAUGACGCCCUAUGGACAGGAGGGCCCAGUCCUGUGCGGGAACUGCAUGGUUUGUACAACUGGCUCUAACGUGACUUCAGAUCCUUGGUUCUGUCCUUCCUGGGACAGUGAUGGCGCGGGGCACUGAAGUCUGACAACCACCCAGAGGAUUCCUUGUCUCUUUGGGAUGCCUGAGGCUGGAUCUAGCCUUCGGAAAUACUGGUUUCUUGCUGUCAACACUGCAAGAUAAUGAAAUUAUUGGUCGC